UUCUUAUCCAGAGCGGCGGAGGGACUGGCCCUAUGAAGCCCGGCAACCACCAUGCAAGUGGAAGGUGCCAAAUCCAUCAGCGUAUGCACGUAUGCGCUGAAAGAUAAGAG
rnacentral:ncRNA from 2 species